CACGUAGGGGGCAAGCGUUGUCCGGAUUUAUUGGGCGUAAAGAGCUCGUAGGCGGCUUAGUAAGUCGGGUGUGAAACCUCCAGGCUCAACCUGGAGACGCCACCCGAUACUGCUGUGGCUAGAGUCCGGUAGGGGAGCGUGGAAUUCCUGGUGUAGCGGUGAAAUGCGCAGAUAUCAGGAGGAACACCAGCGGCGAAGGCGGCGCUCUGGGCCGGUACUGACGCUGAGGAGCGAAAGCGUGGGGAGCAAACAGG
rnacentral:rRNA from 2 species